UUCAGGGCUUUUUGAUUAUAACGAACCGUCGAGCGAACAGAUGAGAAGCUUGCUUCUCUGAUGUUAGCGGCGGAUGGGUGAGUAACACGUGGGUAACCUACCUAUAAGACUGGGAUAACUCCGGGAAACCGGGGCUAAUACCGGAUAAUAUUUUGAACCGCAUGGUUCAAUAGUGAAAGACGGUUUCGGCUGUCACUUAUAGAUGGACCCGCGCCGUAUUAGCUAGUUGGUAAGGUAACGGCUUACCAAGGCGACGAUACGUAGCCGACCUGAGAGGGUGAUCGGCCACACUGGAACUGAGACACGGUCCAGACUCCUACGGGAGGCAGCAGUAGGGAAUCUUCCGCAAUGGGCGAAAGCCUGACGGAGCAACGCCGCGUGAGUGAUGAAGGUCUUCGGAUCGUAAAACUCUGUUGUUAGGGAAGAACAAAUUUGUUAGUAACUGAACAAGUCUUGACGGUACCUAACCAGAAAGCCACGGCUAACUACGUGCCAGCAGCCGCGGUAAUACGUAGGUGGCAAGCGUUAUCCGGAAUUAUUGGGCGUAAAGCGCGCGUAGGCGGUUUCUUAAGUCUGAUGUGAAAGCCCACGGCUCAACCGUGGAGGGUCAUUGGAAACUGGGAAACUUGAGUGCAGAAGAGGAGAGUGGAAUUCCAUGUGUAUCGGUGAAAUGCGCAGAGAUAUGGAGGAACACCAGUGGCGAAAGGCUGCUCUCUGGUCUGUAACUGACGCUGAUGUGCGAAAGCGUGGGGAUCAAACAGGAUUAGAUACCCUGGUAGUCCACGCCGUAGACGAUGAGUGCUAAGUGUUAGGGGGUUUCCGCCCCUUAGUGCUGCAGCUAACGCAUUACCCACUCCCCCUGGGGAGUACGACCGCCCGGUUGAAACUCAAAGG
rnacentral:rRNA from 1 species